AUGCGUAUUUGUACUAUGAACCUCAUGGUAGCUUUUCACAAAAGCUACAACAUCGCCAUACAAUCCUGUGCAUCUAUCUGGGGCCAUUUUGGACAUCCACAAAUACCUAAUAAUGUACCACAUGGUGGAAGGAGGGAACGUGGCUUUACACGUCCCUGGGGUGCACUUCCGCUCAAACACCUUCUUGGACUCAACAGUGCGAUGGCCUGUGCCGUCUUUGGGUCGCCGGCCGUCCCUUACACAGCAGCCCAAGGGUCUUGUCGCAGCACUAAUGUCCAAGGGGCAGGUCUCGUGAAACAUCCUCCCAUCGACACCACCACCGGUCUUGGAUCAGCAGCAGUGUUGUCGUGCCCUGGAGGUCAUUAA
rnacentral:rRNA from 1 species